rnacentral:tRNA from 1 species
UUAAUUGAAACCAAAAAGAGGUAUAUUACUGUUAAUAAUAUUAUUGAGUCAAACUCCAAUUAAA